UUAUAGAGGAGGUAUUGGUGCUGUUGUGU
rnacentral:piRNA from 1 species